GAUGAACGCUAGCGGCAGGCUUAAUACAUGCAAGUCGUGGGGCAGCAGGUUUGUAGCAAUACAGAUGCUGGCGACCGGCAAAACGGGGUGCGGAAACACGUACAGAACCUUCCUUUGAGCGGGGAAUAGCCCGAGAGAAAUUUGGAUUAAUACCCCAUAGUAUAAUGAAGUGGACAGUCACUUUAUUAUUAAAGAUUUAUCACUCGAAGAUGGCUGUGCGGCUGAUUAGGUAGUUGGCGGGGUAAAGGCCCACCAAGCCUGCGAUCAGUAACUGGUGUGAGAGCACGACCAGUCACACGGGCACUGAGACACGGGCCCGACUCCUACGGGAGGCAGCAGUAAGGAAUAUUGGUCAAGUGGAGGCAACUCUGAACCAGCCAUGCCGCGUGGAGGAUGAAGGUCCUCUGGAUUGUAAAACUUCUUUUAUAUGGGGACG
rnacentral:rRNA from 1 species